rnacentral:rRNA from 1 species
UGGUAGUCCACGCCGUAAACGAUGAGUACUAAGUGUCGGGGUAAAACUCGGUACUGAAGUUAACACAUUAAGUACUCCGCCUGAGUAGUACGUACGCAAGUAUGAAACUUAAAGGAAUUGACGGGACUCCGCACAAGCGGUGGAUCAUGUUGUUUAAUUCGAAGAUACACGAAAAAUCUUACCAGGUCUUGACAUACUCUGCAAAGCUAUAGAAAUAUAGUGGAGGUUAUCAGGGAUACAGGUGGUGCAUGGUUGUCGUCAGUUCGUGUCGUGAGAUGUUAGGUUAAGUCCUAAAACGAGCGCAACCCUUGUCGUUAAUUGCCAGCACGUAAUGGUGGGGACUUUAGCGAGACUGCCAAUUAAACAUUGGAGGAAGGUGAGGAUUACGUCAAAUCAUCAUGCCCCUUAUGAUCUGGGCUACAAACGUGAUACAAUGGCUGUGACAAAGGGUAGCU